rnacentral:lncRNA from 10 species
CACACACGGUUUUAUAAAAGAGCAUCUGGAUCCCCUGCACUGAAGUCAGGAACUCCACAGGAUACAACCAUGAACAAGACAGCCUGGAGCUGAUAGUCUAGUGGGGAGGACCCAGCCACCGAAUAAGAAAGCCAAUUCAUCAAUCCCAUCAUUGCAAGUGUUGUGAAGUCCAAUGGAACAAUGAAGUACAUGUAAGAGCAGAGGAAACUCACAAAAUGUGCGUGUCCAUGUUUCUUGCCAUUCACUUGCAUAUAGCAUUCAUGACACCCCAUGAGCUUGGAAUUUCAGUAGACCCAGGAUGCAUAGGAAUUCAGGGUGUUGCAAGUUUCACUCUUGUCGCCCAGGCUAGAGUGCAGGCGCACGAUCUCGGCUCACUGGAACCUCUGCCUCCCAGGUUCAAGCAAUCCUCCUGCCUCAGCCUCCCAAGUAGCUGGGAUUACAGGCACCCACCACCACACCCGGCUAAUUUUUUGUAUUUUUAGUAGAGACAGGGUUUCACCAUGUUGGCCAGGCUGGUCUUGAACUCCUGACCUCAGGUGAUCCGCCCGCCUCGGCCUCCCAGAGUGCUGGGAUUACAGGUGUGAGACACCAUGCCAGACCAAUUACUUGCUUUUUCUAACUGUUUUGUAGGAGUUCUUUAUAUAUUCUAUACUACUCUUCUUUUGUCAUAAAAAUGUAUUGCAGACGUCUUCCUCACUGUACCUUGAAUUUUCACUUAAGUGUCUUAAUUUUAAUGCAGCUUGAUGUAUUCAAACUUUUUGAUUAAAAAUUUUUCUGAAUGUCCCUUUGGUUGUUCUUUCACAUUUAUCUUCAUGCCCUACAUAGAAUUGAUUCUUCACAUAUGUCAUGAUAGAGGGAGCACCAUUUCAUUUUGUUCCACAUGGAUAUCCAAUUGGCCUAGCACCAUUUGUUGAAAAAACCAUUCUUCCCCACUGCACAGCAG